rnacentral:rRNA from 1 species
UACGUAGGGUGCGAGCGUUAAUCGGAAUUACUGGGCGUAAAGCGUGCGCAGGCGGUUGUGCAAGACAGAUGUGAAAUCCCCGGGCUUAACCUGGGAAUGGCAUUUGUGACUGCGCGGCUAGAGUGUGUCAGAGGGAGGUAGAAGUUCCACGUGUAGCAGUGAAAUGCGUAGAUAUGUGGAGGAAUACCGAUGGCGAAGGCAGCCUCCUGGGAUAACACUGACGCUC